UUUGCCAACUGCCAAAAAUAUAUAUUUUUUAAAAAGUCAACAUGAGUUCUGUCUGGAGAGUUUGGGUGCCAGUUCAAGCUUGAAUUUUAAUACAUACAAGUCGCAUCUGAGCAUAAGUUGCAGCCAUACCAUGGAAAAAGUUUAAGUCCAAAUCCGAAAAAUACAGGAAUAAAUAUGUCAUAUAAACGUGAUACCUGAAUCUAUGUGGCAGUGGCCCAUGGCAUGCGCAGUAUGUUGGCUUUGGCCGUUGCGCUGGCUGAAGAACUUGUGAGCCAGAGCGCGUGCC